rnacentral:rRNA from 1 species
GAAGGGGGCUAGCGUUGCUCGGAAUCACUGGGCGUAAAGGGUGCGUAGGCGGGUCUUUAAGUCAGGGGUGAAAUCCUGGAGCUCAACUCCAGAACUGCCUUUGAUACUGAAGAUCUUGAGUUCGGGAGAGGUGAGUGGAACUGCGAGUGUAGAGGUGAAAUUCGUAGAUAUUCGCAAGAACACCAGUGGCGAAGGCGGCUCACUGGCCCGAUACUGACGCUGAGGCACGAAAGCGUGGGGGGAGCAAACAGGAUUAGAUACCCUGGUAGUCCACGCCGUAAACGAUGAAUGCCCAGCCGUUAGUGGGUUUACUCACUAGUGGCGCAGCUAACGCUUUAAGCAUUCCGCCUGGGGAGUACGGUCGCAAGAUUA